rnacentral:rRNA from 1 species
UUUGACCUACGGGGCGAGCAGUAGGGAAUCUUCCACAAUGGACGAAAGUCUGAUGGAGCAACGCCGCGUGAGUGAAGAAGGGUUUCGGCUCGUAAAGCUCUGUUGGUAGUGAAGAAAGAUAGAGGGAGUAACUGGCCUUUAUUUGACGGUAAUUACUUAGAAAGUCACGGCUAACUACGUGCCAGCAGCCGCGGUAAUAAGUAGGUGGCAAGCGUUGUCCGGAUUUAUUGGGCGUAAAGCGA